rnacentral:rRNA from 1 species
GACGAACGCUGGCGGCGUGCUUAACACAUGCAAGUCGAGCGAUGAAGUUUCUUCGGAAACGGAUUAGCGGCGGACGGGUGAGUAACACGUGGGUAACCUGCCUCAUAGAGGGGAAUAGCCUUCCGAAAGGAAGAUUAAUACCGCAUAAGAUUGUAGUGCCGCAUGGCAUAGCAAUUAAAGGAGUAAUCCGCUAUGAGAUGGACCCGCGUCGCAUUAGCUAGUUGGUGAGGUAACGGCUCACCAAGGCGACGAUGCGUAGCCGACCUGAGAGGGUGAUCGGCCACAUUGGGACUGAGACACGGCCCAGACUCCUACGGGAGGCAGCAGUGGGGAAUAUUGCACAAUGGGGGAAACCCUGAUGCAGCAACGCCGCGUGAGUGAUGACGGUCUUCGGAUUGUAAAGCUCUGUCUUCAGGGACGAUAAUGACGGUACCUGAGGAGGAAGCCACGGCUAACUACGUGCCAGCAGCCGCCGUAA